rnacentral:rRNA from 1 species
AUCCAAGCUUAGAAAGGAGGUGAUCAGCCACACUGGGACUGAGACACGGCCCAGACUCCUACGGGAGGCAGCAGUGGGGAAUAUUGGACAAUGGGCGAAAGCCUGAUCCAGCAAUGCCGCGUGAGUGAUGAAGGCCUUAGGGUUGUAAAGCUCUUUUACCAGGGAUGAUAAUGACAGUACCUGGAGAAUAAGCUCCGGCUAACUCCGUGCCAGCAGCCGCGGUAAUACGGAGGGAGCUAGCGUUGUUCGGAAUUACUGGGCGUAAAGCGCGCGUAGGCGGCUUAUCAAGUCAGGGGUGAAAUCCCGGGGCUCAACCCCGGAACUGCCCUUGAAACUGGUUCGCUAGAAUACUGGAGAGGUGAGUGGAAUUCCGAGUGUAGAGGUGAAAUUCGUAGAUAUUCGGAAGAACACCAGUGGCGAAGGCGACUCACUGGACAGUUAUGACG